rnacentral:rRNA from 1 species
UAGUCCACGCCGUAAACGAUGUGUGCUAGUUGUCGGGUUUUAGGAUUCGGUGACGGAGCGAAAGUAUUAAGCACACCGCCUGGGGAGUACGGCCGCAAGGUUAAAACUCAAAGGAAUUGACGGGGACCCGCACAAGCGGUGGAGUAUGUGGCUUAAUUCGAUGCAACGCGAAGAACCUUACCUGGGCUUGACAUGCAUUUCUAAAGCCGUGAAAGCGGUGGAGUUUACUUCGGUAAACAACUUGCACAGGUGCUGCAUGGCUGUCGUCAGCUCGUGUCGUGAGAUGUUGGGUUAAGUCCCGCAACGAGCGCAACCCUCAUUUUUAGUUGCCUUUUGGAACUCUAAAAAGCUGCCGGUUAUAAACCGGAGGAAGGCGGGAUGACGUCAAGUCAGCAUGCCCCUUAUACUCUGGGGCUACACACGUGCUACAAUGGGGCAGACAAUGAGAUGCGAUUCUGCGAAGACAAGCUAAUCUAUAAACUCGUUCUAAGUUCGGAUUGUAGGCUGCAACUCG